UGGAAUCUAUUAAAAUAGUACGUUUCUUGAAAAAAAAAAUAUUUACCACGAUAUUUUAUGUCGUAGAGUACGGUAGUAAAGUAUCGAGUAAACUAUUGACCACUAAUUCUGGGACGCCCUGCAUUGUAAUAAAUUAUGAAGAGAAAACCCAAUAAUUUUUUGUCUUGGAAACUUUAUUGAGUUAACAAUAAACAAAGCAAAAGUCAACCAGAAUAAACUGAGAAUUGUUUAUUAGGUACAGAAUCAAAAUUUUGAUGGAAAAACUAUAUGCAAAGUAAAAAUAUUAGAUUGAAUGACUUUUAUAAGAUUUCAAUAAUCGAGACAGAAAUGAGUAAUAUUUAGUUCUGAAAUAUUUUUCGAACGAAUUCAGUAAAAUACUCCUCAUUUUCUCUGCAAAACCCCUCCAAAAACGUAAUAAUUAUAAAAAAUUACAUAAUUGGUUCAAUAACUAACAGAAUGAUAAGACAUAAAGUACAUUAUUCUUUAUCAUCACAUUAGUGAGGCCCAUUCCUUAGUAGAAUUCGUUGAGUUUGUGUUCAGAAUUUUAUAUUUCUUUGGUAGUUUUUAAUUGUACCGAAAUCGCAUAAAGUAAUAUAGUUUCGAGAAUAUUUCAGCUUUAAAAACCUUCAUUUCAGGUUCAUCAUGGAAGCGGCAAACAGGAUGGGAUUGGUACUCCUGCCGAUAUCACUUAUGGGAAACAGGUUUUGGAUGGCGGUUAUGCUCAACCUCAUUCGUCUACCAUCCCGUGCCCUUCAGAAUAUAGCCAAAAUCCCAAUAACUGUUGCAAAAACUGGUCUAUCCAUACCCGGCAGAAUUUUUUCAGGGGUACUCAGUGUACCUAAAAACAUCAUUGCAACUCCAUUUCGACUGAUUAAAUUCGUGUUGUCCUUGCCUUUCAAAUUUAUUGUAUUAAUUUUCAAAAUCAUAACUUUCUUGCCAAGAACGGUUCUCGAAAUUAUAUUCUGAUGAAAUGUAUUAUUAACAAGGGAAGUUUUCAGGAUUGAUAUGCCGUUCAAGUAAAUGAAUAAAGUUUUCCGUUUCUUCCUUAUCCAUAAAUGAAUGAGCAAAAUGCUUUUAAUCCCUAUUUUCCUAGGACUCCGUAAUUAGAUCAGUAAGAUGAAUGUUCCAGGCCUUGUCAAUUAAUUAAAAAUGUGAAAAUAUGAA